UGCGGAGGGUGCAAGCGUUAUCCGGAUUCACUGGGUUUAAAGGGUGCGUAGGUGGGCUGGUAAGUCAGUGGUGAAAUCUCCAGGCUUAACUUGGAAACUGCCAUUGAUACUAUCAGUCUUGAAUACCGUGGAGGUCAGCGGAAUAUGUCAUGUAGCGGUGAAAUGCUUAGAUAUGACAUAGAACACCAAUUGCGAAGGCAGCUGGCUACACGAAUAUUGACACUGAUGCACGAAAGCGUGGGGAUCAAACAGGA
rnacentral:rRNA from 1 species